rnacentral:lncRNA from 1 species
AUUACUGCCCUGUGGCAUAGAAUAAGAAAUGAAUAGAAGGGCAACUGAAUGUCGGAUCAUUUGAAGUCGGUGUCCUCGCGCAUGUCGUGUCGCGCAUGCCGGAAAUACGACGGCGGCCAUUACUCUGGCCAGUAACUUGCAGCUGGAAUCGAUAUAAAAUAUAUGGAGUGAGAGCUGUGAUUUGUUUUAAAAUUGACAUUUUGUGGAUAUUUGCUUAUAAAAUUAGAUUUUAAAACCAAAACACCCAAGAGGAAGGUAAGUAGUUUGUAUUUAUUCAUUUAUUGGUCAAAUAAAACAUUUAAUCGAGGUAUUUAUCAGCUACAAAUAUUACUAUUAAAUAUGGAGUUGCAUGACGAACAUUAUUUAUAUAUACAGUACAUGAUACAGACUAUGUUUAUAGGUUUUAAACUAGUGAAUCGUUGUUAAUCUUUGCAACUAUCGUACAUAUCAUUUUUUUUUAUUUUUCGGGUUGUCUUGGUCUUUAAAGCUAGUGUGAAUACGUUUUUUUUUGUUCAGAUGUUGCAGUAAUAUUAUAUAGAUUUGAGCAUUUUGAGGGUUUUCAUCCAGAGCAGAGCUGCUUUUUAUGCACACGUGGUCACUUCCAUGUGUUUAUAGCUGUUUUUCGUGUACAAGUUUGAUUGAAUUUAAUGUAUUUUUUUGUUUUUAUAGAAGUGGCAAAGUCACUAUCACAGAAUAGGAAGUGAAGGUGGUCAGUAUGGUUCCAGCACAGUCCAAUAUUCAAUUGGAUUUGUCUGAAAGAACCUUGGAACUGUUUCAAAUAUUACUAACAUUCAAAGAUACCUUUUGAACAUUGGCUACAAAUUGAUUUUAUCUUGCAUAGGAACUACUUAGUUCUGUACUUUAUAUUGUUAUAAACAAACGUUCAACAAGUCCCAAUUGGUAUUUUAAUAAGCACAAGUGUACGAGUCUAAAACAAGUCUGAUUUGUUGCAAUAGUUCAAAUGCAUAUAUUCAGUGGUGGACACUAGGGGGCCAGGUGGGCAAUACCCCCCCCCCCUCCCCCAAUAAUUUCCGUAGACCUUUGACCAUUUGUGGCUUAAUAACUGUGUAUAACAAAGCUGUGACAUUAUUUUUUGAUAUGUAUUGCAUGGUUUGCAUGGUACUGUGGGUUAUAGAACUAUAUGUAAUAUUGCAUGAAAUUUAAAGCAAAAAAGUUUAUAAAAAAUUAAGAUCUCCAGGAACAAAAGGAAUAUAUUAUAUGAAACCCAUUCUACAUUAACAGCUGUUCAUAAGAGUUGGGCUGGCCUGGUAAACCAGGUUAGCUUGCCUUCAUACACUAGUGGAGGCAGGCUAGCCUGGCAAGCAUUAUGCAGAAAUUGCAAUAUAAUUUUGGAUAGCUUUCUACAUUCUUAGAUUUAUAGGUGUCUGAAUGGCAAAAUAAAGCAUGUAUCCACAUUUGAAUACAAACUUGAAAUGGGGGUACCUAAGCAGCCUGGUCCAUUUUGUAAUGCCAGCACAUCUCAUAUGGAACAGCCCCAUAUAUUUGGUGUCCACAUCUUGCAUAAUGUAAUACUAGGAGAGAAAUGAAAGAGUAUUCAACAUAUUUUUGUAAAAAAUUUUAAUGUUUCUGCACUGCCAUUCUGGCAUACAUAUAUUAUAUUACAAAGACAACACAAUAUGAUCCAAUCAUUGACAAAUUGGUCUUCAAGAGAGUGAAACUUGAGUACUUGUUGCCAAGGCUUGAGCACGUCCAGAAGGCUUAAACUAAAUGAAACAAAAAUUAUGACAUGGAUAAUACUAUGUUAUAGAAGGGCCACAUUGCCAGCUUGACCUAGUCAUGCUAGCUGAGGCCUAAAUUGCCCAGCAUGGAAAGAAAAGGCUGUCCAGUUUUGUGCACAAAUCAGUGACUUGCAUACACAACAGCUUAUAUUGCUGUCGAAUCUUUUGGCACAAAAACGAUACUCCAUACACUCAGGCAAAUUGAUGUGUUGCCUGUGUCAGUGAUUGUCAGGCAUGGAUGAAGUGUAAACAUGGUCAUAACUUGAUGUUUGUGGUGUUACUCUGCGUGUGCAUCCACACCGGGACAAACUAAAAAGUUUGCCUGACUAUGGUGGGAAUCGAACCUGUGACCUUAAUGGGAUACCAGUCCAAUGCUUUACCAACUGAACUGCUAGGUUAAGUCAGUUCGAGUUGGUGAUAUUUUGGAACUGAGUGUGGUUCCUUCGAUAUCAAUGUAUUCUAAGACAUGAUACUUUUUGUGUGUGUUAGUGUUAUAUACUUAGGUGACCUCAUAGCUCAGUUGGUAGAGCAUUGGAGUGAUAACCCAAAGGUCGUGGGUUAGAUUCCCACCAUGCCUGACCGCGGUCAGGCAAACUUUUCAGUUUGCCCAGUGUGGAUGCAUACUCAGAGUAACACCACAAACAUCAUAUUCACCAGAGUACAUAACAACAAAAAGUAUGGUGACUCAGUCUCUAUAUUUUAAUUAUAGUCUUGAUAAUUAUAACAUAAAAAAACAACAAUUUAUGACUUUUCUGAUGCUGUUUAAUACCUGGUUGAAUAAAAAACAAUAGAUGAAAUGCUUCUAUGAUAUGGGCAUAGUUAGCAAUGUUUCUGAUUCACCUGCAGCACAUUUGUAUACUAUACUAUAGUCUAUCAGUUUGUUUUGUACAAAAUUUCAAACUUCAAGAAACCACUUAUUUUACAGAAGACAACACUUGUUAUUUGUGAAAGAAACACAAAAGGAAUCUUUUAGUUGUGUGUUUGUAAUAGUUGUGUAUUUGUAUAAAUAUACAUGAAAAUACAUCCAGAUCAGGUAAAAUAACGUGAAAAUAUGUCCGAUAUGGAAACAGACAUUAUACAAUACUCAACUGUGCUAUUAAAAAUACGGAAAAUUGGGAUGAAACAAUGCUUUUACUGUAAGCACAUUGUUAUGAAGAUUUGAACUAACAUAAGUAUCUGAUAAAAUAGGAGUACCGUGCCAAUUUACCCAAGAAUAUACCAAACAUUUUUAUUCAAUAUACAAAUAUACAACUUUUAACAAGCAAGUAAAACGGUCAGUAUUUGCUAAUAGAACGUCUUUAGAUUGCUUUUACCUAAUAAAUUGCAAUGCCUCACCUUAUUUCUUUCAUCUUCUGUCAAAAACUUUCACGAUCAUUGAAAAACUUGAACGAAAAAGGCGAAUUUAUAGCCCAAACACUACUCUUCUCCAUAUAAUCUAUAGUACGCCAGCAGCCAGUUUACUGGCCAGAGUAAUGGCGGACCUGACGCAUGCGCACAAAAAAACUAGGACGCGUUGUACACGUGAGUUGCCCUUCUAUUCAUUUCUUAUUCU